AGCGAACGCUGGCGGCAGGCUUAACACAUGCAAGUCGAACGCCCCGCAAGGGGAGUGGCAGACGGGUGAGUAACACGUGGGAACGUACCCUUUGGUUCGGAGUAACUUGGGGAAACUCAAGCUAAUACCGGAUAAGCCCUUAUGGGGAAAGGUUUACUGCCGAAGGAUCGGCCCGCGUCUGAUUAGCUAGUUGGUGAGGUAAUGGCUCACCAAGGCGACGAUCAGUAGCUGGUCUGAGAGGAUGAUCAGCCACACUGGGACUGAGACACGGCCCAAACUCCUACGGGAGGCAGCAGUGGGGAAUAUUGGACAAUGGGCGCAAGCCUGAUCCAGCCAUGCCGCGUGAGUGAUGACGGCCUUAGGGUUGUAAAGCUCUUUCGACGGGGACGAUAAUGACGGUACCCGUAGAAGAAGCCCCGGCUAACUUCGUGCCAGCCGCCGCAGUAAAAC
rnacentral:rRNA from 1 species